rnacentral:rRNA from 1 species
CACGUAGGGGGCGAGCGUUGUCCGGAUUUAUUGGGCGUAAAGAGCUCGUAGGCGGUUCGGCAAGUCGGGUGUGAAAUUUCGAGGCUCAACCUCGAAACGCCACUCGAUACUGCGUGUGACUGGAGUCCGGUAGAGGAGUGCGGAAUUCCUGGUGUAGCGGUGGAAUGCGCAGAUAUCAGGAGGAACACCGAUGGCGAAGGCAGAUCUCUGGGACCGUAACUGACGCUGAGGAGCGAAAGCAUGGGGAGCGAACAGG